UGGAUCGUUGCGGAGGAAGACGUGUGGCGUGGCUGUUGUUCCGCUCGGUGGGGUCUUCGUUCGGUGGAGCUUCUUCACGGGACGUUGACCGAGCUUGGAGAUGGGUUUAACCCAGUAAAUUCGAAGACACGACAUGGUAGAUUCGGUGGAGCUGCAAGUGAUGGCUUCGGUCGAAGAUAAUGAAGGAAAGAAGACUUGGGGUCUUCGGUGAACUGCAGGGGUGCACGAUGGAAUUCUGUGAAGAGGAGGGACGCGCGACUGCUCCUUCCGCUGGCUUCUUCCUUGCCAAAUGGUGGUGUCAGAAAAAUGAGAGGGGGAGAGGUUAUUAUCGCCGGUUGAGGGGGUGAGAGGAAGAGAUGGAUAGAGAUGAGUGAGGGUUGGGCUCCACUUGGAUGGAUAUUUCACAAAAUAUCUUCCAAAAUCACUCUUGG
rnacentral:lncRNA from 1 species